rnacentral:rRNA from 1 species
CCUACGGGAGGCAGCAGUGGGGAAUAUUGCACAAUGGGGGAAACCCUGAUGCAGCGACGCCGCGUGAGUGAAGAAGUAUUUCGGUAUGUAAAGCUCUAUCAGCAGGGAAGAAAAUGACGGUACCUGAUUAAGAAGCCCCGGCUAACUACGUGCCAGCAGCCGCGGUAAUACGUAGGGGGCAAGCGUUAUCCGGAUUUACUGGGUGAAAAGGGAGCGUAGACGGCAGCAAAAGUCUGGAGUGAAAGGCCGGGGCUUAACCCCGGACCUGUUUUGGAAACUGGGCAGCUAGAGUGCAGGAGGGGUAAGGGGAAUUCCAAGUGUAGCGGGGAAAGGGGUGGAUAUUGGGGGGAAAACAGGGGGCGAAGGCGGCUUACGGAACUGUAACGGAGGUUGAGGCUGGAAGGCGUGGGGAGCAAACAGGAUUGGAUACCCCUGUAGC